CGGAGUGUGGCUCAGUCUGGUAGAGCACUGCGUUCGGGACGCAGGGGUCGCAGGUUCGAAUCCUGCCACUCCGA
rfam:Caulobacterales bacterium RIFCSPHIGHO2_01_FTLL_70_19 rifcsphigho2_01_scaffold_160, whole genome shotgun sequence.